ACAGCAUAGCCACGGUAAUACAGAGGGUGCGACCGUUAAUCGGAUUUACUGGGCGUAAAGCGUGCGUAGGCGGCUUCUUAAGUCGGAUGUGAAAUCCCUGAGCUUAACUUAGGAAUUGCAUUCGAUACUGGGAAGCUAGAGUAUGGGAGAGGAUGGUAGAAUUCCAGGUGUAGCGGUGAAAUGCGUAGAGAUCUGGAGGAAUACCGAUGGCGAAGGCAGCCAUCUGGCCUAAUACUGACGCUGAGGUACGAAAGCAUGGGGAGCAAACAGGAUUAGAUACCCCUGUAGUCCCUGUCUCUUAUACA
rnacentral:rRNA from 1 species